rnacentral:lncRNA from 1 species
GCUGACUCUCUUUUCAGACUCAGCCCACUUGCACCCAAGUGAAUUAACAGCCUUGUUGCUCACACAAAGCCUGUUUAGGUGGUCUUCUAUACGGACAUGCUUGACACUUGGUGCCAAAAUCUGGGCCAGGGGGACUCCUUCGUGAGACCGGCCCCCUGUCCUGGCCCUCAUUCCGUGAAGAGAUCCACCUGCGACCUCGGGUCCUCAGACCAGCCCAAGGAACAUCUCACCAAUUUCAAAUCGGAUCUCCUCGGCUUAGUGGCUGAAGACUGAUGCUGCCCGAUCGCCUCAGAAGCCCCUUGGACCAUCACAGAUGCCGAGCUUCGGAUUCCCAGCCAUAUGAAGACACCCUAGCUGGACGAUCAGUCCUUGUCAAAAGUCUGACCCCUCAAACUCUACAGCCUCAAUGGACCAGACCCUACCCGGUCAUUUAUAGCACACCAACUGCCGUCCAUCUGCAGGACCCUCUCCAUUGGGUUCACCAUUCCAGAAUAAAGCCAUGCCCAUCAGACAGCCAGCUUGAUCUCUCCUCUUCCUCCUGGAAGCCACAAGAUUAGGCCGAGAGCCGAUCAGACAAACAACCUACAACCCUUAAGCUCCUGGCAGCGCCCAGCCAAGGCCAUGCUUCCUUGCAACACUCCUUCCAAAUGGCCAUCCCAGCAUGCUUCCAAGCAGGCUUCAUCCGUUCCUCUGGACCCUCAUCUCUUAAGACCUGCCGCCUAUAAAAAGGAUUAUAUCUUGAGACCCUAUCCUCUAAAAUUUUUUCCACACCCAAAACAAAAAAUCUCUGGGUCAAAAGUCUAAAACGCUUAGGCUGGCAACCAUCAGAUCCUUGCCCAUGGUGUCCUCAAGCCUACUCUCAUGAAAUGGACAACAGUACACGCAUAUGGGGCCAGUUCCACAUAUUUGGCAACCAGACCAGCAUCCAGGACAACACAAAGUAUGUUGUUUGUUGUUAGAGGGCUUGGGACAUUUCACUCUUUGCCAGCCUCAGCUUAAUCCAGGAGACAAAGAUUAUUUUCCUUAUUAUCUCUUCUGCAUAGGAUCUGCAAUCAGAACUAUUGAACUUCUCCAUUCAGACCGCCACUCACACCUAUGGGAAAAGGGUAAUGUAUCAUCGGCUUAGCAACAGGGAAUACUAUUCGUAUGAUGGAAAAUGGGGACAAAAGGCUUUGGUACAUAAAACAUUAUUCCUUCCUUGGCCUAAAAACUCAUCGCCACCUACAUUAAAGCUAAUAUGCC